ACUAUUUAAGGUUGCCAGAAACGGGUUUUGUAGGGUAGGGGAUCACCUCGCUGUCUCCAUCCAUCCCCCAUCGGACCGGCCGGUCAGCCGCCUCCCCUCCUGGAGGUCAUGAAGGGGGCAAGAUCUGGCUGCAGUGUGAGGAGAUUUGGGCCUGUUGGGUCAUAGCUAAAGGCUUCAGUCUACCCGACAGAACGCUGAGGAAGCCCGAGGCACAGUCGUGUUCCUCGGAAUGAGGCCGAGGAACACAGACGUGACACGGGGGCCCUAUCGAGGUGGCCCUUAAGGGGCAUGCCCUCACGAGGCCCCCGCUGCUUGGCGCGACUUCAGGCCGCAUCCGAUGAAUUUCUCCAACACGCCCAGUCAUUCUUGGAUUUAAUGUGUCGUUGGUUUGCUAUUAAACGGGGCGCAGUUUCCCGAGAUGAACUUGACCUUUGCACUCCUUGAAUGGGACCUCGGGUCUCUGCGCUACAGAGCCUCAGACCCCUGUGUCCCCUCCGGCCCCUCGGACCCCCGAGACCCUAAGACCCCUCGGACCAGUGUGUGAUUUGCUGAUUUAAACUUCUCUCCCACAGUACCGUGAACUAAAACAGGAGAGGCGGACGAGGUUUUGGAUUUGGCGCGGAGUUGCUGACGAAAGCCACUGGACACCCUGAAUUAAAAGCCGGGGCAUCCUGUCUGAAGAGGGAGAUCUGUGUGGGAACGUGUUGGAGAAGAGCCGCCGCCGCGUUUAGUCUCCGCUCUGUCGCCGGGCCCACAGAUCUGUUCAUCAUGACUCGCUGUUAGUCUUUCACUAAUCUCCUGUGUUCAUCUCUCUUUCAAGUGUGUGUGCGUGUGUGUGCACCCGCAUAUGUGUGUUUGUGCAUACACGAGUGUAUGUGUGGG
ensembl:lncRNA